GUGCUAUACAUGCCAGUCGUAGCGAAUGGAUUAGAGCUUGCUCUUAUGAAGUUAGCGGCGGACGGGUGAGUAACACGUGGGUAACCUGCCCAUAAGACUGGGAUAACUCCGGGAAACCGGGGCUAAUACCGGAUAACAUUUUGAACCGCAUGGUUCGAAAUUGAAAGGCGGCUUCGGCUGUCACUUAUGGAUGGACCCGCGUCGCAUUAGCUAGUUGGUGAGGUAACGGCUCACCAAGGCAACGAUGCGUAGCCGACCUGAGAGGGUGAUCGGCCACACUGGGACUGAGACACGGCCCAGACUCCUACGGGAGGCAGCAGUAGGGAAUCUUCCGCAAUGGACGAAAGUCUGACGGAGCAACGCCGCGUGAGUGAUGAAGGCUUUCGGGUCGUAAAACUCUGUUGUUAGGGAAGAACAAGUGCUAGUUGAAUAAGCUGGCACCUUGACGGUACCUAACCAGAAAGCCACGGCUAACUACGUGCCAGCAGCCGCGGUAAUACGUAGGUGGCAAGCGUUAUCCGGAAUUAUUGGGCGUAAAGCGCGCGCAGGUGGUUUCUUAAGUCUGAUGUGAAAGCCCACGGCUCAACCGUGGAGGGUCAUUUGGAAACUGGGAGACUUGAGUGCA
rnacentral:rRNA from 1 species